GCUGUGCCCUAAGGAACAGGGAUCGGCUGUGGGAAGGCUCCAAACCGCGCGCGUUGUUGGCGCCGAGGGAAGGGCUGCCCGCUGACAGGGCCGGUCACCUUUGCUCUUUGGCGUGGCUGGUGACCGGCCUUUGCGGCGUGCGAGCUCGCACCUCCGAACGUUUUCUCGCCGAGCUUCAGGGAGAUCCCGCAGCUUUCGGAUGCCGGCAGCUGCGUUUAAACUGUGCUGGUCGGCGGCGUCAAGAAGGAGCAGACCUGCGGUGCUCUGAGGAAGCGGAACCUGCCGCUUCCCAGCAGGGCAAAGGGAUGUGGAGAGGGAAACGCAUGGAGAGUUGGUGUUUCGGCUCUGUGUGCCUUACCGAAGCAACUCAGCAGGCUGCAGCCAGCACUCAGAGCGCAGUCACACUGCUCGGGACUGUGUAUCGUCUGCGGCCACGCGCUAGCCAAGGUUGGCAGGGACACAACGGCUGUACAAGCAGAUUCCUCGCCCGCAGGUGCAGCAUCUGGAGGAGAAUCAGGCCUGAUUCCACGGGCAGCGCAGCCGGGCGCCUGCGAGCUGCUCCCUGCUGCUUCCGCAGCGCCGGUGCAUUUGGGGAGGACUCCCAGCGCUCGCGUGACAGAGGUAACGUCCGCCCGUCCCCGCUC